UUCUAAGCAAGGCGAGCAGCAAGCACGAAGGCUCUCAGGAAGGAGUGUGCUUGGUGAGUUCUAAGAACAAGCAGGCCAGUGUAGCUGGAAAGUAGUGAGCAGGAGACUGUGGGCAGGAGAGGACAUGAGAGAGGUGACAGAGUGGAUCACUGAGGACCCUGCAAGUGGUGUUGACGUGGGAUUUCACCAUAUUGGCCAGGCUGGUCUCGAACUCCUGACCUCGUGAUCCACUGGCUUCUGCCUCCCAAAGUGCUGGGAUUACAGGUGUGAGCCACCACACUGGCUUACCAAGGGUGAGUUGUAAAUGUAACUAUUCCCUGCAGGUCUGUGGCUUAGAGCAAUGAAUUUAGAUAAGGUCAGGGUUUACUGUUGUUUAUUGCCUUACAAUAAGAGCUGUUUGUUCAUUGUAAUUGGCUUAUAAAAGUUCUUGAGUCACUAA
rnacentral:lncRNA from 10 species